rnacentral:lncRNA from 1 species
UGAGGGUCAAAUCAAUUAAUACUGUUCCACGCCUCUGACAGCCAUAAUCACCGUGCAAGGUGGUAAAACCUGAUAAAAACACCCUUAACUUCUGUUUCUCUGAGACUCUGACUGUCCCACCUGCUUGCAUGCUGCCUGGUCGGUGCACGUAUUGAAGUCAUGCAGUUUAGUUUCAAGACCUAGUUGGCAUUGCUCAGCUAGUUAUUAAUAAUUUAUUUAAUGCAAUCAUAAAAUUGAGUAUAUUUUGAUAAAUAGAAAUAUUUAUACAUAAAUUACAUUAUAUAAAUAGAAAUAUCAUCGGUUAAAUUAUGAUAUAAAUUAAAUAAAAAAUUACCUACAUACAUUAGUAGAGCCAGGAUUUGUUAGCCUCCCGGCAUAAUCCUCAAAUAUCUGUGUAGGCAAAAAAAAAUGUUGAUAUAAAUAGUUCGGAUUAAAUUUUGGCAUAACCUGUUUAGAUUUAAAAAAAAAUGAACCUAAAAUUCAAUUGAAAUAUUAACAAUUCAAUAAAAAUCAUAAUUAAUAGUUAUAAACAAAUGAUAAAAAUUUAGAUCUUUAAACCCCAAAAUAUCAGAGCAAAUUUAAAUCGAUUGAAUAAUCUAGAGAUAGAGAUUUGAUUUAAAUUGGACGUCCAGCUUAGGAGCAACCAAAUGAACUGGUCUGGUGUUUGGUGAUCGCCUGUUGAUUUCUAAAGUGCUCAGAAGUAAG